rnacentral:rRNA from 1 species
GGUUAAGCGACUAAGCGUACACGGUGGAUGCCCUGGCAGUCAGAGGCGAUGAAGGACGUGCUAAUCUGCGAUAAGCGUCGGUGAGGUGAUAUGAACCGUUAUAACCGGCGAUUUCCGAAUGGGGAAACCCAGUGUGUUUCGACACACUAUCAUUAACUGAAUCCAUAGGUUAAUGAGGCGAACCGGGGGAACUGAAACAUCUAAGUACCCCGAGGAAAAGAAAUCAACCGAGAUUCCCCCAGUAGCGGCGAGCGAACGGGGAGGAGCCCAGAGCCUGAAUCAGUGUGUGUGUUAGUGGAAGCGUCUGGAAAGGCGCGCGAUACAGGGUGACAGCCCCGUACACAAAAAUGCACAUAUUGUGAGCUCGAUGAGUAGGGCGGGACACGUGGUAUCCUGUCUGAAUAUGGGGGGACCAUCCUCCAAGGCUAAAUACUCCUGACUGACCGAUAGUGAACCAGUACCGUGAGGGAAAGGCGAAAAGAACCCCGGCGAGGGGAGUGAAAAAGAACCUGAAACCGUGUACGUACAAGCAGUGGGAGCCUCUUAAUGGGGUGACUGCGUACCUUUUGUAUAAUGGGUCAGCGACUUAUAUUCUGUAGCAAGGUUAACCGAAUAGGGGAGCCGAAGGGAAACCGAGUCUUAACUGGGCGUUAAGUUGCAGGGUAUAGACCCGAAACCCGGUGAUCUAGCCAUGGGCAGGUUGAAGGUUGGGUAACACUAACUGGAGGACCGAACCGACUAAUGUUGAAAAAUUAGCGGAUGACUUGUGGCUGGGGGUGAAAGGCCAAUCAAACCGGGAGAUAGCUGGUUCUCCCCGAAAGCUAUUUAGGUAGCGCCUCGUGAAUUCAUCUCCGGGGGUAGAGCACUGUUUCGGCAAGGGGGUCAUCCCGACUUACCAACCCGAUGCAAACUGCGAAUACCGGAGAAUGUUAUCACGGGAGACACACGGCGGGUGCUAACGUCCGUCGUGAAGAGGGAAACAACCCAGACCGCCAGCUAAGGUCCCAAAGUCAUGGUUAAGUGGGAAACGAUGUGGGAAGGCCCAGACAGCCAGGAUGUUGGCUUAGAAGCAGCCAUCAUUUAAAGAAAGCGUAAUAGCUCACUGGUCGAGUCGGCCUGCGCGGAAGAUGUAACGGGGCUAAACCAUGCACCGAAGCUGCGGCAGCGACACUAUGUGUUGUUGGGUAGGGGAGCGUUCUGUAAGCCUGUGAAGGUGGCCUGUGAGGGUUGCUGGAGGUAUCAGAAGUGCGAAUGCUGACAUAAGUAACGAUAAAGCGGGUGAAAAGCCCGCUCGCCGGAAGACCAAGGGUUCCUGUCCAACGUUAAUCGGGGCAGGGUGAGUCGACCCCUAAGGCGAGGCCGAAAGGCGUAGUCGAUGGGAAACAGGUUAAUAUUCCUGUACUUGGUGUUACUGCGAAGGGGGGACGGAGAAGGCUAUGUUGGCCGGGCGACGGUUGUCCCGGUUUAAGCGUGUAGGCUGGUUUUCCAGGCAAAUCCGGAAAAUCAAGGCUGAGGCGUGAUGACGAGGCACUACGGUGCUGAAGCGACAAAUGCCCUGCUUCCAGGAAAAGCCUCUAAGCAUCAGGUAACAUCAAAUCGUACCCCAAACCGACACAGGUGGUCAGGUAGAGAAUACCAAGGCGCUUGAGAGAACUCGGGUGAAGGAACUAGGCAAAAU